UUUUCUUAGCGCUACAGACACAGGUUACUGAUUCUUUCCUCCAUCUGUCUCUUUCAUAGCACUUUCUGUUCUCUACCUUCAUCAGUUUUCCAGGAGUGCUUGGAGAUUCUUGCUUAAAGCUAACUGUCAAGCUCUGGACGUUGUUUUCCUGAGCAGUGAAGUGGGAGAGAUGAUCGUUCAUUUGUGCUGCCGCUUGAACUGAGCAAUCACUACAGCGGUCUGCCACAUUAAAGAGCAUAAUUUAUUGUAUGAAUUUCAUGAUUAAAGUCAGUUUUUCAAAUUCUGUCUGGCUGGUUUCAUAUAAAAGAAGAACACUAAAGGUACUUUAGGUACUUUUUUUCCAUUCACUUUAUGGUGCUCUUUAUUUUUUAUUUAUUUAUGUAAUAUUAUUAUUACUAUUAUAUUUUUUUUAGCUUGACAACCCCAGUCUACUUCCACUGAUGAAACAGAGCAUAAAGGAAUUUAGACAGGUUUGGAGUGGCAUGAGGCUGAGUGACUAAUGACAGAUUUUAAAUUUUUUUGGGGGGGAAGUGUUGCUUUAAUAGA
rnacentral:lncRNA from 12 species